rnacentral:misc_RNA from 1 species
AAGUCGUAACAAGGUUUCCGUAGGUGAACCUGCGGAAGGAUCAUUAAUGAUUUGGCAAACCGAGCGUUAGCGAGGUUUUGCGAUCAACUUGUAUUUAAAACCCAACUCUUUAUAAUAAUUUAUACAUAAUUUUGAAUGACAAAAUUAAAGAUCACUUUCAACAACGGAUCUCUUGGCUCUC